rnacentral:lncRNA from 1 species
CAAAGAAAAAAUUGCCUCUUAAAGAGAUGUACUUGGUGACAGCUCUUUUCAGUAUGAGAGUAUUACAGGUUAGGACUGAAAACCUUUAUCCUAGAAACAGAUGAUCCUGGCUUACCUCUAUAAUGGUUUUCCUUUCUCCUCCCAUUCCUUUCUCCAUUCCCAAUUAUUUUAGUUUUAAUUUAUUUUUUGUAUGUUUAGCUUAUUAUUUGUAUAUCUGUGUGUUUGUAUGUUGUAUUUAAUCACUCAUUUAAAGCAAGCAGUUCUUUUUGUUCAGCAUAUUGGUGUCUGUCUUCUAGAAUAAAUGCCAACACAAUCAUGUUCAACUUUACCUAAUCCCACGUACUCAGUAGUCAGAUUUAUCUGCUUAGUUUUGAAAAUGGAAAAACUAAAACAAUUUGAAAAUAAUUGACCAAUAAUAGAACCAAUAAGGAUGGUUAGCUUUCAGAUGAAUAGUAAAAAUCCCAGAUAAGUGUUUCUGAUCACCUCCCUCAGAAUCAGUUAAGAUAUUUAGUAAAUUCAGAGACUCCUUGAUCCCACUUGAGAUCUACCAAAUCAUAAUCUCUAAAUUCGGGGUCCAGGAAUCUGUCAUUUAAUAAGCACCCCAGAUGACUUUCAGCAAACUUGAGAAAUACUACCCUAGAUCAGGGACAGCAGCCUAAGAAAAGCAAUAUAGUAAAUAUUCUCAUUUUCUUUAGUGUGUUUGUAUUUGUUUAGCAUUGAGAUGUGGGGUUGAAUGGCCACAUAGCAGUCCUUUCUAUGGGAGCCUAUUGGAUGUGAUGAAAAACCCAGUUCUUUACUCUGCUACUAUUUUGAAAUGUUAACAUAAGAGGAAGAGGUCUGAGAAUCACCUUAAUUAUUUUUAUCAAAUUAGCAGUAGAUUUUCAUUGACCAUGGUCAACAGCAAGAAUGAGAUACAGGCUAGAAGCAAGUGAAAGCAUUUUGCUUGAAACAUAGACCAGGGUUCAGUAACAGUUUGUGAAAAGCAUACUCUGUUUUCUUCUCAGUUUUGAGUAGUGCUGUCGUCUGUAAUUUUAGUACUCAAAAUAGUUCUGUGUGCAACUGUUGGCCUGCUGAGCACUGGUUCUAUAAUCAUCUUUGAAGCAGAAAUCUUUAUUAUUUCACCAAGUCUGGAGGCACUUAUAUAGAAGAAAAAUUAGUUGUUGAAAAGAAAAACUAAAAGACAAGAGCUGAAGAAAUUAUAUAAAAGUAGAAAUAGAAAGCCCAGUGGAGUCAGGAAAGAAAUAUCAGAAGGAAUCUGUGAGAGACACUGCUGUUCUUCAAAUUCACCCUCUAGUAAUGUAGCUUGGGAGAUUGCUAAACAAAGCCCUUCUAAGAAUUGAACUUGAGAUUCUAGUUAAUAAGUAUUUGCUGUCAGGAACAGUGAAGUAAUUCCCUUUAGCUAAAAAUCAAUUGAAUUGUGAAAAUGAUCAUUACUGAAAUAGUUACUGGUGCAACUGCAUGAUAUUUGACAGUGUUUCUCUGGCUUUUUUCAUCUCAUUGUUCUACCUAUUGUCAGAAAUUUUCCAUAUUUAAGAAGCCAGCAAUGAUAAUUAGGAAUAUUACACAUUUUAAUAAUUAAUAUGUUUAGACUCUCUUAAAAUUUGAACAUAAUAUUUAACCUGGAGAAAAUGAAACAGAGAUGAACUAAUGAAGUGUCAGAUAUGCUGCAAAUAUACUAAGAAUGUUCAGUUGUAGUAAUGAGACUUAUUCCAAGGAAAAAAAUAGGGGCAUGGAUAAAAAUAGGGGCACCAUUUUUUUUUAAUGGCUACACCUGCAGCAUAUGCUAGUUCGUGGGCCAGGGACUGAAUCCAAACUAUAGCUUACUCCUACAUUGUGGUUGCAGCAACACUGGAUCCUUACCCACUGUGCUGGGCCUGGGAUUGAACCUGUGCUGCCACAGAGACAACGCCAGAUCCUUAAGCCACUCUUUUUUUUUUUUUUUUUUUUUUUUUUUUUUUUUUUUGCCCUCUCCCACAGCAUAUGGAAAUUGCCGGGCUAGAGGUCUAAUUGGAGCUACAGCCACAGGCCUACACCACAGCCACAGCAACUUGGGUUUUUGAGGAAUCUCCGUACUGUUUUCCAUAGUGGUGCACCAGUGUACAUCCCCACCAACAGUAUAAGAGGGCUCCCUUUUCUCCAAACCGUCUCCAGCAUUUAUCGUUUGUAGACUUUUUGAUGAUGGCCAUUCUGGCUGGUGUAAGGUGGUACCUCAUAGUAAUUUUGAUUUGCAUUUCUCUAAUAAUUAGUGAUGUUGAACAUCUUUUCAUGUGUUUUUUGGCCAUCUGUAUGUCUUCUUUGGAGAACUGUCUAUUUAGAUCUUGUGCCCAUUUUUUGAUGGAGUUGUUUAGGUUUUUUUUUUUUUUUUUGGAGGUGUUUAUAUAUUUUGGAGAUUAAUCCCUUGUCAGUCACUUCAUCUGCAAAUAUUUUCUCCCAUUCUCUGUGUUGUCUUUUGUUUUGAUAAGGGUUUCCUUUGCUAUGCAAAAACUUUGAAGUUUAAUUAGGUCCCAUUUAUUUAUUUUUGUUUUUAUUGUCAUUACUCUAAUAGGUGGAUUUCAGAAGGUAUUGCUGUGGUUUAUGUCGGAGAGUGUUCAGCCUGUGUUUUCCUCUGAUAGUUUUACGGUAUCUUGUAUUUAGGUCUUUAAUCCACCUUGAGUUUAUUUUUGUGUAUGGUAUUAGGAAAUGUUCUAAUUUCACUCUUUUACGUGUGGCUGCUCAGUUUUCCCAGAAUCAAUUAUUGAAGGGACUGUCUUUUCUCCAUUGUAUAUUCUCGUUUCCUCUUUCUCUUUCUUUCUUUCUUUCUUUCUUUCUUUCUUUCUUUCUUUCUUUCUUUCUUUCUUUCUUUCUUUCUCUCUCUCUCUCUCUCUCUCUCUCUCUCUCUCUCUCUCUUUCUUUCUAUCUUUCUUUUGUCUUUUUAGGGCCACACCCAUGGCAUAUGGAGGUUCCCAGGCUAGGGUUGAAUUGGAGCUAUAGCCAAUGGCCUACACCACAGCCGCAACAAUGCCAGAUCUGAGCCAUGUCUGUGACCUAUACCACAGCUCAGAGCAAUGCCGAAUCCUUAACCCACUGAACAAGGCCAGGGAUUGAAUCUGCAGCCUCAUGAAUACUAGUCAGAUAUAUUUCUGCUGAGCCAUAAUGUGAAAUCCUUACCUCCUUUUUCAUAGACUAGUUGACCAUAGGUGCAUGAGUUUAAUUCUGGGCUUUCUGUUUUGUUCCACUGAUCUAUAUUUCUGUUUUUGUGCUGGUACCAUACUGUUUUUCAUGAUUGUAGCUUUGUAGUAUAGUCUGAAGUCAAGGAACCUGAUUCCUCCAGCUCCAUUUUUCUUUUUCAGGAUUGCUUGAGCUGUUCUGCUUCUUUUGCACUUCCAAACAAAGUAAAAUAUUUUGUUCUAGUUCUGUGAAAAAUACCAUUGGUAAUUUGAUAGGGAUUGAAUUUAAUCUGUAGAUUGCCUUGGGUAGUGUAGUCAUUUUGACAAUAUUGAGUCUUCCAGUCCAAGAACAUGAUAUAUCUUUCCAUCCAUUUAUGUCAUCUUUGAUUUCUUUUGUCAGCAUCGUACAGUUUUCAGAGUACAGAUCUUUUAUCUUUUUAGGUAGAUUUAUUCCUAGGUGUUUUAUUUUAUUUUAUUUUAUUGAUGCAAUGGUAAAAUGGGAUUGUUUCCCUAAUUUCCCUUUCUGAUCUUUCAUUGAUAGUAUAUAGAAAUACAGUUGAUUUCUGUGUAUUAAUUUUGUCUCCUGCAAUUUUACCAAAUUCAUUGAUGAGAUAUAACAGUUUUCUGGUAGGGUCUUUAGGAUUUUCUAGGUAUAGUGUCAUGUCAUCUGUGAUCAGUGAUAGUUUUACUUCUUCCUUUUCAAUUUGGAUUUCUUUCAUUUCUUUUUCUUUCACUGAUUGCCAUGGCUAGGACUUCCAAAACUAUGUUGAGUAGUAGUGGUGAGAGCAGACAUCCUUGUCUUGUUCCUGUGGGGUGUUAAAAGUCCCCCACUGUUAUUGUGUUACUGUCCAUUUCUUCUUUUAAGCCUGUUAAUAGUUGCCUUAUACAUUGAGCUAUGUUGGGUGCAUAUAUAUUUGCAAUUGUUAUAUCUUCUUCUUGGAUUUAUCUUUUGAUCAUUAUGUAAUGUUCUUCCUUGUUUCUUAUAAUAUUCUUUCUUUUAAAGUCUAUUUUGUCUGAUAUGAGUAUUGCUACUCCACCUUUCUUUUGAUUUCCAUUUGCAUGGAAUGUUUUUUCCAUCCUCUCACUUUCAGUUUGUAUGUGCUUCUGGAACUGAAGUGGAUCUCUUGAAGAUAGCAAAUAUAUGGGUCUUGUUUUUUGGGUUUUUUUGUUUGUUUGUUUGUUUGUUUGUUUGUAUCCAUUCAGGAAGUCUGUGUCUUUUGGUUGGAGAAUUUAGUCCAUUUAUCUUUAAGGUAAUUAUUGAUAUGUAUAUUUUGUAUAUGUAUAUGUAUGCCAUUUUGUUAAUUGUUUUGGAUUUGUUUUUGUUGAUCUUUUUUCUUCCCUUCUUGCCUUGUUCUCUUCUCUUGUGGUUUGAUGACUAUCUUUAGUGUUGUGUUUAGAUUUCUUUUUCUUAUUUGUGUGUGUAUCUAUUGUAGAUUUUUGGUUUACAGUAACCAUGAAGUUUUGAUCUAGGAAUCUAUAUAUACAAAAUUGUUUUAAGUUGCUGGCCUCAUAAUUGCAAAUCCAUCUCCAGUAUCUUGCAUUUGUACUCCCCUCAUGAUUUCUGGGUUUGGUAACAUACUUGUGUGUGGAUGAUUUCCUACCUUUACUAUAUGUAUGCCUUUACUGGUGAGCUCUGUCAUUUAUAACAUUUUUGUUUCUAGUUGUGGCCUUCUCUUUUCCGUCUAGAGAAGUUCCCUCAUUAUUUGUUUUAAGGUGGUUUACUGGUGCUGAAUUCUCUUAGCUUUUGCUACUCCUUCAAAUCUGAUUGAAAGCCUUGCUGGGUAGAGUAAUCUUGGUUGGAGGUUUUUUCCCCUUUCAUCACUUUAAGUGUAUUGUGCCUCUCCCUUCUGGCUGCAGAGUUUCGGCUGAAAAAUCAGCUGAUAAUAUUAUAGGGGUUCCCUUGUAUGUUAUCUGUUUCUUUUCCCUAGGUGCUUUCAAUAUUUUCUCUUUGUCUUUAAUUUUGGUCAGUGUGAUUAAUAUGUGCCUCAGGGUAUUCUUCCUUGGGUUGAUUUUAUAUGGUAUUCGUUGUGCUUCCUGGAUUUGAGUGAGUGAUUCCUUCCCCAAGAUAGGAAAGUUUUCAGCCAUUAUCUCUUCAAAUAUUUACUCUGGCCCUUUCUCUCUCAUCUCCUUCUGGCACACCAGUAAUACAGAUGUUGAUCCAUUUAAAGUUGUCCCAGAGUUUUCUUAGACUGUCUUCAUUUCUUUUCAAUCUUUUUUCUCUUUUCUGUGCUGUGUCAGUGAUUUCCAUCAGUCCAUUUUCACUUAUUUGUUCUUCUGCCUCCUGUAUUCUACUAUUGGUUCCUUCUAGGGAAUUUUUUAUUUCAGUUAUUGGUUAAUCUUUGAAUUUUCUGUUUCUUUUUUCUUUCUUUUUUUUUUUUUUUUUGGUCUUUUUAGGGCUGACCUGUGGCGUAUGGAAGUUGGAAAUUCCCAAGCUAGGGGUCUGGGGCUUCUCAGCCCUGGUAGGUGGGACCAGGUUUUUCCAAAAUGGCCACCUCAAGGGGAGUUCAUGCUGAUGAUUAUUCCCAAGACCUUUGCCUCCAAUGUCCUUCCUCUGCAAUGAACUACGGUCACCCCCUGUUUUCCCAGGAGAAAGAACCAUAGGCAGGUGUGACCCAGAAUCCUAUGGCAUCUCUGCUUUGCCCUGAGACCCAGUGCACACAAAAAAGGCUAUGUGCACCUUUCAACAGCAGAGUCUGUGAUUCCCCCAGUCCUGUGGACCUCCUGCACACAGGCUUCACUGGCCCUCAACAACAAAUGCUCUGGGGAGCUCCUCCUCCCAAUGCCAGACCCCCAGGCAUGGGAACCUGACAUGGGGCUUAGAACUCUCACUCCCAUGGGUGAGCCUCUGUGAUAUAUAUAUUCACUUUCCAGUCCACAGGCCAUCCACCUGGCAUGUAUGGGGUAGCUUAUAUUGCAUAGUCUCCCCUCUUACUGUCUUGAUGUGGUAUCCUCUUUGUAUUUUGCUGUAGGAUAUCUUUUUUGGUAGUCUCCAGUCUAUUUUGUUGAUGGUUGUUCAGCAGUUGGUUGUAAUUUUAUUGUUUUCAUGAGAGAAGGUGAACUCCAGUCCUUCUACUCUGCUAUCUUAAUCCCGUCUCCCUGUUAGGGUUUUUUUAAAAGGUCUCAUUUGUCAGAAUAAAAAAGUGGCAACCCUCUCUGUAUUUUCUCCUACCACUUCCAAUUUUUCUUUGGAAUCUGAAACCAAAUUCAGUAAAUUCCUUGUAAGCCUCUUUGGGUUGACUUCUACUUUUCAACUUAUCAUAGGAAAAUAACAGCCAGUCUUUUCUGCCUUAAUUGGUCUUCAAGUUUACCAUUAUAGUAAAAGAGAAAACCAGAAAUCACUCUCACUUCUGGAUAUCUUAUUAAGAGAAACCAGAGCCAGAUAUUGGUUCAGUCAUAAACAGAUUUUUUUUCAACAACAAUUGCAAUAGAGGAAAUGAGUCUUUAGUAUAGAAUUGGGUUCAGUUCCAAAUACAGUAUGAUCAAGUGAGGAUUUAUAGCCAAGGAAGAGGGUGAUAACCAGUAGAUGGCAAAUUACUAACAGGAAACAUUAGGGGUAAGGAAGGAUUCUAGCUAGACCAACUUAAUAGGAUUCUUGUUGAAGGUAGGCCAAGAAAAUCAGAUAUCAAGGAUGUGGGAUUCUCUCUAAACUGACUUCACAGGAUUCUUGCUAAAACUGGAUGAU